rnacentral:rRNA from 1 species
UAGAGUUUGAUCCUGGCUCAGGAUGAACGCUGGCGGCGUGCCUAAUACAUGCAAGUCGAACGCACAGCGAAAGGUGCUUGCACCUUUCAAGUGAGUGGCGAACGGGUGAGUAACACGUGGAUAACCUACCUCAAGGUUGGGGAUAACAUUUGGAAACAGAUGCUAAUACCGAAUAAAACUUAGUAUCGCAUGAUACCAGGUUAAAAGGCGCUACGGCGUCACCUAGAGAUGGAUCCGCGGUGCAUUAGUUAGUUGGUGGGGUGAAGGCUUACCAAGACAAUGAUGCAUAGCCGAGUUGAGAGACUGAUCGGCCACAUUGGGACUGAGACACGGCCCAAACUCCUACGGGAGGCUGCAGUAGGGAAUCUUCCACAAUGGGCGAAAGCCUGAUGGAGCAACGCCGCGUGUGUGAUGAAGGCUUUCGGGUCGUAAAGCACUGUUGUAUGGGAAGAACAGCUAGAGUAGGGAAUGACUUUAGUUUGACGGUACCAUACCAGAAAGGGACGGCUAAAUACGUGCCAGCAGCCGCGGUAAUACGUAUGUCCCGAGCGUUAUCCGGAUUUAUUGGGCGUAAAGCGAGCGCAGACGGUUAAUUAAGUCUGAUGUGAAAGCCCGGAGCUCAACUCCGGAAAGGCAUUGGAAACUGGUUAACUUGAGUGCAGUAGAGGUAAGUGGAACUCCAUGUGUAGCGGUGGAAUGCGUAGAUAUAUGGAAGAACACCCAGCGGCGAAGGCGGCUUACUGGACUGUAACUGACGUUGAGGCUCGAAAGUGUGGGUAGCAAACAGGAUUAGAUACCCUGGUAGUCCACACCGUAAACGAUGAACACUAGGUGUUAGGAGGUUUCCGCCUCUUAGUGCCGAAGCUAACGCAUUAAGUGUUCCGCCUGGGGAGUACGACCGCAAGGUUGAAACUCAAAGGAAUUGACGGG